rnacentral:rRNA from 1 species
UACAGAGGUCUCAAGCGUUGUUCGGAUUCAUUGGGCGUAAAGGGUGUGUAGGUGGCGCCGUAAGUCGGGUGUGAAAUCUCGGGGCUUAACUCCGAAACUGCAUUCGAUACUGCGGUGCUUGAGGACUGGAGAGGAGACUGGAAUUCAUGGUGUAGCAGUGAAAUGCGUAGAGAUCAUGAGGAAGACCAGUGGCGAAGGCGGGUCUCUGGACAGUAACUGACGCUGAGGAGCGAAAGCGUGGGGAGCGAACAGG